AUUGAACGCUGGCGGCAUGCCUUACACAUGCAAGUCGAACGGCAGCACGGGAGCAAUCCUGGUGGCGAGUGGCGAACGGGUGAGUAAUACAUCGGAACGUGCCCAGUAGUGGGGGAUAACUACGCGAAAGCGUAGCUAAUACCGCAUACGCUGUGAGCAGGAAAGCGGGGGAUCGCAAGACCUCGCGCUAUUGGAGCGGCCGAUGUCAGAUUAGCUAGUUGGUGGGGUAAAAGCUCACCAAGGCGACGAUCUGUAGCUGGUCUGAGAGGACGACCAGCCACACUGGGACUGAGACACGACCCAGACUCCUACGGGAGGCAGCAGUGGGGAAUUUUGGACAAUGGGGGCAACCCUGAUCCAGCCAUGCCGCGUGUGCGAAGAAGGCCUUCGGGUUGUAAAGCACUUUUGGCAGGAACGAAACGGUUUGCGUUAAUACCGCGAACUAAUGACGGUACCUGCAGAAUAAGCACCGGCUAACUACGUGCCAGCAGCCGCCGUAA
rnacentral:rRNA from 1 species